rnacentral:rRNA from 1 species
GAGGAAUAUUGCGCAAUGGAGGAAACUCUGACGCAGCCAUGCCGCGUGCAGGAAGACGGCCCUACGGGUUGUAAACUGCUUUUAUAUAGGAAGAAACCCCGAUACGUGUAUCGGCUUGACGGUACUAUAUGAAUAAGGACCGGCUAACUCCGUGCCAGCAGCCGCGGUAAUACGGAGGGUCCAAGCGUUAUCCGGAUUUAUUAGGUUUAAAGGGUCCGCAGGCGGGAUUUUAAGUCAGUGGUGAAAGCCUACAGCUCAACUGUAGAACUGCCAUUGAUACUGAUAUCCUUGAGUGUGGUUGAAGUGGGCGGAACAUGUCAUGUAGCGGUGAAAUGCAUAGAUAUGACAUAGAACACCAAUUGCGAAGGCAGCUCACUAAGCCAUUACUGACGCUGAGGGACGAAAGCGUGGGGAGCGAACAGG